rnacentral:rRNA from 1 species
AUUGAACGCUGGCGGCAGGCCUAACACAUGCAAGUCGAACGGUAACAGGAAGAAGCUUGCUUCUUUGCUGACGAGUGGCGGACGGGUGAGUAAUGUCUGGGAAACUGCCUGAUGGAGGGGGAUAACUACUGGAAACGGUAGCUAAUACCGCAUAACGUCGCAAGACCAAAGAGGGGGACCUUCGGGCCUCUUGCCAUCGGAUGUGCCCAGAAGGGAUUAGCUAGUAGGUGGGGUAACGGCUCACCUAGGCGACGAUCCCUAGCUGGUCUGAGAGGAUGACCAGCCACACUGGAACUGAGACACGGUCCAGACUCCUACGGGAGGCAGCAGUGGGGAAUAUUGCACAAUGGGCGCAAGCCUGAUGCAGCCAUGCCGCGUGUAUGAAGAAGGCCUUCGGGUUGUAAAGUACUUUCAGCGGGGAGGAAGGGAGUAAAGUUAAUACCUUUGCUCACUGACGUUACCCGCAGAAGAAGCACCGGCUAACUCCGUG